UCUCGAUUGGUCUAGUGGUAAGGAUACCUGCUUGUCAUUCGUCGGGUAAUGCGGGUUUCACGAUACGUGGAUUUAGCAUCUAUCAAAGAACAAGCCGCAGGUGGCCGGGGUUCGAUUCCCCGAUCGAGAG